rnacentral:rRNA from 1 species
CUACGGGAGGCUCCAGUGGGGAAUAUUGCACAAUGGGCGCAAGCCUGAUGCAGCCAUGCCGCGUGUAUGAAGAAGGCCUUCGGGUUAUAAAGUACUUUCAGCGGGGAGGAAGGGAGUAAAGUUAAUACCUUUGCUCAUUGACGUUACCCGCAGAAGAAGCACCGGCUAACUCCGUGCCAGCAGCCGCGGUAAUACGGAGGGUGCAAGCGUUAAUCGGAAUUACUGGGCGUAAAGCGCACGCAGGCGGUUUGUUAAGUCAGAUGUGAAAUCCCCGGGCUCAACCUGGGAACUGCAUCUGAUACUGGCAAGCUCGAGUCUCGUAGAGGGGGGUAGAAUUCCAGGUGUAGCGGUGAAAUGCGUAGAGAUCUGGAGGAAUACCGGUGGCGAAGGCGGCCCCCUGGACGAAGACUGACGCUCAGGUGCGAAAGCGUGGGGAGCAAACAGGAUUAGAUACCCCCGUAGUC